UUCAUGAGAAGAAUGCUCAGGACAACUAGGCAAGUGUUUUCUUGUUUCCUCCUCUUUCUUUGGUGCACAGUCUGGCACGACUGAAGGUGGAUGUGUUUUUUCUCCCCCAGAUCAAGACUCAGAUCUGGGACAGGGAGAUGGCGGAGCAGGGCAGGGAGGUCGCUUACUUGAAAUACAGGUGUGGUCAUUUGACUUGCGUUUUUAUGGGUGUCUCCAGGGAUGACGCCUGCACUGUUAGUUGUCUAGUAGAUGACGUGGUGUUGCAACUCUUAUAGAAGUCCAUUAUUUUUCUGUAUCCAAGACUGGACGGGAUGGAACCAAAGAGGCUGCCUGAGGGAUACACGAGGCAGAAACCAAUCACUGCAAGAACCCUCCAAGGAGAGGUAAGGAGCACGUUGUGAUGUGCUGCAGUCCAAUUUCUGCUGUGCAGCCUGUUCCUGUGUGUGAUCAUCGUGUGGUCUGGAAAGAAUCACAUGCACUAAGGAUGGCAGGUGGUCUGAAGGGGUGACAGAAGGGUGUUCUCCUCUGGUGCCACAGACAGUGAGGCACUUGUCCCUGUGACUGGUGGAGCUCAUGCCCCUCCUCUGAUGGUGACCCUCCCACCUCCUCUAGCAUCCCCCUGUCUGAAGAGCCUGGAAAGGAUGACAGGACAUGGGCCUCAUCCUUCUUCCCACCCGGACUCAAUAUGAAGACUAGUUUGAGGAGAAGGUCAUUUAUUCACUAGUUUUAACAGUCUUUCUUUUUGUUUGUUUUUGGGAACUGUAGCCCUACAUCCCUCAAUUCAAGUUCCAUAAAGCUUAGCUUAGUCCUCUGAUGGUAUCAGUGCAACUCUGCAGCUUCACUGCUAACUUCUCACAGUUUUUCUUUUCUCAAUAGUGUAAAAUUAGUCUUUCGUCAUAUACUAACUGCUCUCAUGUGGAAGGCAGCUUGUAGGUAAGCUGAGAGAUUGAACAAUUUGCCUGAAGUCUGAAGAAAUGCACCCUUCUUGAGGACUCAUUGAGGAUAUAUACCAAACCAGUAUUCUCAAUGUUAUUCUUUUUUUUUUAAGUUUAUUUAUUUUGAGAGAGGCAGAGACAGAAUGCCAAGCAGGCUCCACACCGUCAGUGAGGAACCCAACGCUGGACUUGAAUUCACAAGCUGUGAGAUCAUGAUCUGAGCCAAAAUCAAGAGUCAGAUGCUGAAUCCAAGCAUCCUCAUAUUUAUUCUUGAUCUGGAAUGAAAUCGUGAUUUCCCAUGAUGUAUACUGAGAAAACUGUUUUACUGAUGAAUUCUAAAUUGCUAGUUGUGCCUGACCUGUUCACAGUUAUGUGAUUAAUUACAAAACAACAUGAACUAGGGCACCGUGAGGUCUUUAUCAAGGUGAGGGGAUGGUUCUCUCCCUUAUUCUUGGGGGUCACCUGAGGCAUGUGGGAUACCCUCUGCCUCUGGUCAGGGACCUCACUGUAGGGAAAAGUUUAAGAUAUUUGAGGAAUGAGUUGAGGAAUGAUUUUCAUUCCGCCCAGUCCUCUAAAAGCAGAAUAAACCGGGGCGCCUAGGUGGCGCAGUCGGUUAAGCGUCUGACUUCAGCCAGGUCACGAUCUCGCGGUCCGUGAGUUCGAGCCCUGCGUCAAGCUCUGGGCUGAUGGCUCGGAGCCUGGAGCCUGUUUCCGAUUCUGUGUCUCCCUCUCUCUCUGCCCCUCCCCCGUUCAUGCUCUGUCUCUCUCUGUCCCAAAAUAAAUAAACGUUGAAAAAAAAAAAUUUAAAAGCAGAAUAAACCUCUGUCCCUUCUAGGGUCUUUAGUAGAUCGAGAAACAGCUGAAACCUCUGUGAGUUACAGUGGCUCUGGCUGUACCAAGAAUGCAGACAAGGACAAGGUAAAUGCCAGGGCCAUUCUCAGUUGUAACUCUUUUGGGAAACCCUCAUCUUUAUGUACAGUAUGCUCUCCCGGCCUUGUCUCGUUUUGCAUGUUGUGUGAUAUGUCUGUUUGUUCUUUGUUUUCCAAAUGCACACUCAUAAGCCAGGAGCCCACAGGCUCCUCAAUUUUUAGUCUGUCAGCUUUCUGUGGUAAGUUUAGAAGCCAAAAGCGCUUAGAGACUGAGUAUCUUAAGGUUUUUCUGUGAGUUUCAGGAAAUAAUGAGAGGAGGAUGACUGCACACUCCAAACAGAGGUCUCCCGGCCUGGGUGAUCCCUUCCAGACCUCACCUCUGUGGGAACAGUGUGGCUGCUGUGUCUUCCUUUCUUGAUUCUGGCUAGGAGAUGAACCUGUUAGAAACGACAUCAUGACUCCAACUUUCUAUUAUGUGCCCUGUGCCAUUUAGAGUGGUCAUAGAGAAAGCCAAUAUCAUCACUCAUCACCUUUCCGUCUUUGUUGGUAAAUGACUUGUCUGGAAUCCUCCAGCUAUACCUUAGGUNAAAACAAUUUUCACACUGUGUCCUUCAGUUGUGUUUCUAUGAGCAGUUUCUGGUUGUGUCCCCAGUCACUGUUAGAGCUGAUAUAGUCUCAUGCCACAUACCAGGAGUUUUAUACCAAAACACUUGCAUGAAAUCUGUUAUGUGAAUUUCUCCCUCUUUUUUUCCAUUGCACAUAAUGACUCUGUGUCCUGUAGUAUGCUUAAAGUCAGAAUUCCCUAUGAAUUAAGAUGAACACAUCUGAGCUUUGUAGACAUUCACCACAAGUAACUCGUUCUUCACAGAAGACUCUCCUUCCCCUGCAAGAUUCCAGGCAUCCUCCACUCCCCAGAGGUCUCCGAGGCCUUUGACAACACUUCAAGAGGGAAGACUCCUUUCUCAGGGAGAGGAGCAGAGGAGGCACAGUGAGGGUCCGGCUGCAGAAUAUUUUGCCAGGAGUGGCUGUGAUUCCAUGAGCAGAAUAUGAGCCAUUUAUUCCCACUCAUUUUUUUGUGUUCUUAAUAUAGCAAAAGCAGAGCAUCUGGAGUCGCCGUAGAGGAGGGAUGCAGGGUAAGCCUGGACAUCGAUGGCUGCCUGUCUGGAGAAUGCUACUUCAUUAAUCUGUAAUUACUUCUGUUAACCCUUUAGGACAGGACCCUUGCCAUUUUCUUCCACAGACAUGGGCAGUGAUGUGUGGUGGCAGUAGGUUAACCUCUUGCAUCUACUACCCCAAGCUGUAGGUGGUAUCCAGUGGCAGGGACAGAGUUUUCAGGUACUGAUGCUACUCUCUUGGAUCCUGGUGGCAUAGAAGGUGGCAGGUGCUGACACAUUCUUCUCUGGGUUACAGCUGAUUUUUGUAUUGGUUCUCUUGUCUGGCAUAUGGAUGUAGCUGUCACUUUGUUCUGCAGGGCAGUCUGGAUCCUGGGGACCUCCUCCGUUAACUGGACGAUUCUGCAUGCCCUACCCUGG
rnacentral:lncRNA from 1 species